GUUAAGGUCAGGGUUAGACGGUGUGGUUAAGGUCAGGGUUAGACGGUGUGGUUAAGGUCAGGGUUAGACGGUGUGGUUAAGGUCAGGGUUAGACGGUGUGGUUAAGGUCAGGGUUAGACGGUGUGGUUAAGGUCAGGGUUAGACGGUGUGGUUAAGGUCAGGGUUAGACGGUGUGGUUAAGGUCAGGGUUAGACGGUGUGGUUAAGGUCAGGGUUAGACGGUGUGGUUAAGGUCAGGGUUAGACGGUGUGGUUAAGGUCAGGGUUAGAC